UUUGAGUUUUUUUUGUGUGUAUAAUCUAUGUUUUUGAUGCAUUAUUUACUUGUAUUUUGUCAUGGUAACGGAAGGCUUUUAUUUUGAAAUGUAUGGUCAUGACCGCAUAUAGCACGAGUACGUGCUAAUCAAUUCAGAGUGAAAUGAGACCCAGAUGCAAACGGUUGUGGCCUCGAAGGUUUACGGUUUACCAAGGCUUAGUUCCUGGUUUAAGUGGAGAACAAGGUAUUGUAACUUGCUACCUGUUGUUAUUGUUUUCAUUUAUUUUUCAUUGUGAUAAGUAUUCAUUUGUUAUUUGGGUAUGUUAAGUUAUUGUUGUGUUUUGGUUUCGAUGUAUGUUUACUUAUUCAAAUGUUUGUUUGAUUUUCCCUUUGUCUAAGCUCUUACGGUGAUCUUCAAUAAUCUCACGGUAUUUAUGAUGAGCAUUGAAUAAAGCUUGAGGAUCAUCAGUUGAAGAGUCAGUAUUUAUUAAACUAAGGAGCUACAGUAAGAGCUUGUCCAUCGUCGACCCGCGGUGCUGCUUAAAGAGACUCCAUGGUUGGUGAAGGAAACUUUUAAUGCCAGCGUGCUCGUUUGAAACAACGUGACUGACUGUUCUCUUAACGCCACAAGAUUAAAGCGAACUCUCAACGAAUGAUUACGGGCAGCAAAUGGAUCGACUUAAUGGACUAUUUAAAGGAAGAGAACUGUUACAAGUGUUUGGUGGAUCGCAGUGAGUACCAAAGACAUAAAGUUAACUUUCAAGGGACAGUCGUCUUCGGUUGUUACGCGUGAUUUAAAGAGUAACGGACAUUGCUUGCCCUUACAAUUUGCAUAUUAAUGAACUAACGUGUAUUGAACGAACCAAUUUGUAUUGAAUGAAUCAAUUUCACUUUCAAGAGUUAAUGUCUCAGAAUAUGUGGUUAAGUGUGUUUGCUGAGCACAUGUUAUGUAUUAACUUUGUGAAUGAUGUUAUGUGAUUUUAGUGAAUUAUAAAUGUAAGAGAAAUGUCAAAAUCAGAUGCAGGUUUAAAAGAGGUAAAUAAGCAAGUUGAUAGUCAACAUAUGGAGACUCAAAGUGAAAGUGCACGCCGCUCAAAGCGUACUCAUGUUCCAACUGAAAAAAUGUUAGCCUAUCAGCAAGAAGAGUGGCAAAAAAGAGAGAAAAAAAUUGUAUCUUUAUAUGAUCAAUGGAAAAUAGAAGCCCGUAGUGCACGUGAGCGUCUUAAAUUAGAUGCAUCAGAUACUCAGUUGGCUAUUUUAAUUGAUACAUUGGAAAUGGCUAAAAGUAAGGUCCUUGGUGCUUAUGAUGAAUAUAGGCAACGUGUAUCUCCUACUGUUGAGAUGAGAAGGAAAAUGGAUGCAUGUGUAGCAGUCACAGCUGAUAUCAUUAAAAUCACUAAUGAAAGAAUAACAGGUAUAGAUGGAGAUUUUGAUUCAGAUAAAGAGAAGAGACGUCUUCGUACUUUAUUAGAUCAUCAAUAUGCCUGUUCAAUCUUUGGUUCAACUGCUUCACAAGUUAGCCAAGAAGCUAGUAACGCUAGUCAUUGCUCUGUUACAUCAAGCUUAGAAGCCAAGCGUAUAGAUGCUGCAGCGGAAGUAGCAGCUAAACAGGCUGCAUAUAAUGUUCUGCUGGAAGAGUCAAAGCAAAAGGAAAAAAUAGAGCAGCUAGAAGAACAGCAUAAAAGGGCUCUUGAAGUAGAGUUAAAGGAAUUAGAGCGAAUUCAUGCGCAAAAGGAUCUGAAAGCAGCUCAAGCUAAACUGGAAGUAUACAGUCAAGAAGUUGAGAAAGAAAAGGCUAUCUUAUCCAGAGAUUGCACUAGUGCAGAAGGGUCAGAAUCAGAGUUUUCUGAAAUAAAUGUGAAAAAGAAGCAAGAAAACCAUCAACAUCUGCACCAUGCAACUGCAAAGCCGUCAGUUAAAGCACCAGUGACUGAUAUUCACCUUCUUGUUAAAGCAUUUCAAGAUGGCAUGACUAUGAGCAAACUGCCAGUUCCAGAGCCUCCUGUUUUUACAGGUGACCCCAUUCAAUUUAUUGAGUUUAAGCAAUCCUUUAUGGCACUUAUUGAUCAGAAGAGCCUCUCGUCUGCUGAUAAAAUGUUUUAUUUGAAAAAGUAUGUCAGUGGUUCAGCCAGAAAAGCCUUGGAAGGCACUUUCUUCAGAGCAGAUGAUGUGGCCUAUCAAGAUGCCUGGUGUAAAUUAAAUGAACGUUACGGUCAGCCGUUUCUUAUUCAAAAGGCUUUUAGAGAAAAGCUAACAAACUGGCCUCGAAUUCAUCCAAAGGAUGCCAUGGGACUUCAAGCCUUCUCUGACUUUCUGAAUGCAUGCCAGGAUGCAAUGCCUCAUGUAAAAGGUCUCAAAAUUUUGAAUGACUAUCAAGAGAACCAAAAGCUUGUGCAAAAAUUACCUGACUGGACUAUUGGUAGAUGGAAUCGCCAAGUUACACAAUCCCUUAUUGAUAAACAUGAGUAUCCUACUUUCAGAGAGUUUGUUAUGUUUGUAUCAGCUGAAGCAGAGGUUGUUUGCAAUCCCGUUACCUCCUUUCAUGCUCUUCAUAAUGCAGAACUUGCUGUUGAAAAGGUAAACUUGAAAGAGACCAAGAGAAGCAGAGGUCGAGUUUUUUUCUACUCAAUCAAGUGUACAGAGUCAAGUUGAGGUUAAGUCCAUGAACAAAGUGCCAUGUAUAUUCUGCCAAAAGAGUAACCAUCAACUUAACAACUGUUACAGUUUUCUUAGUGAACCGCUGGAAGAGCGCCGAAAAUACGUUCAAGAGAAGCGUCUUUGCUAUGGAUGUCUGAAGUUUGGUCACAGUGCAAAGGAGUGUCGUUCCCGUUUGGUUUGUAACACCUGUAAAAGGAAGCAUCCAACCAGUUUGCAUGAUAACAACUUUGUAAAAAUUGUGAAAACUUCAUCUUCUGCAGUUCAGACCCAAAGUGAUCCUGGUGGUACAAUGAAUGCAGUGGCUUUGAGCGUAGCUGGAGAAGAGCGCAACGUGUAUACCUCCAUGAUUGUUCCUGUCUGGGUGUCUGCAAAGCAAAAUCCAAGCUAUGAAAGAUUGGUAUAUGCAUUGUUGGAUUCUCAGAGUGAUACCACAUUUAUUGAUAAAGGUGUGAGUGACGAUUUACAAGCGACAACGUUCCCAGUAAGAUUGAAACUUACAACCAUGCUUGGGAAAGAUGCAGUGCUUCAAAGUGAGAGAGUGUCAGGACUUCAGGUGAGAGCAUACAAGUCAAGUAAUUAUAUCGAUCUGCCCCCUGCCUAUACUAAAGAUUGCAUACCAGCUAAUCGUAGCCAUAUUCCUACUCAUGAAGAUGCUGAAAAAUGGAAUCAUCUUGCAGUUAUUGCAGAAGAAGUACCUCCUUUACAGGACUGUGAUGUCGGCCUGUUAAUAGGUUAUAAUUGUUCAAGGUCAAUGGCUCCCAGAGAAGUGCUGAUAGGAGGGGAUGAUGAGCCCUACGCUAUUAGAACAGAUCUAGGAUGGAGUAUAGUGGGUCGUUCUUCACCGCAUCCUGACUUAUCUGAUGUCAGUAGACUGUGUCACCGUACGACAGUUAAGGAGCUUCCUCCUAUCACACCAACCAAUGUACUACGGAUCUUAGAAAGUGAUUUUAAACAUCUUGAGGAAGAAAUCACAAAGGUAUCGCAGGAUGACAUUCUUUUCCUUGAGAAACUAAAACAAGGUAUACAAAGAAAUGUUCAUGGUCAUUACCAAAUGCCACUUCCCUUUAGGCUAAGACCCAAUUUGCCAAAUAACAAACGACAUGCGAUGAUCAGGCUUGAGCACCUCAAAAGAAAGAUGAUGAAAGAUGAGUCCUAUAAGAGACAUUACAGUGAGUUCAUGAGUGAAAUUCUUCAGAGAGGAGAUGCUGAGGAAGUACAUGAUGAUGGUAAGGAAGGAGAAACAUGGUACUUACCGCAUCAUGGUGUUUUUCAUCCAAAGAAGGUAGACAAACUGCGCAUAGUGUUUGAUUGCUCUGCAACAUAUGAGUGCUGCUCCUUAAACGAUCAUUUACUUCGGGGCCCAGAUCUGAUAAAUAGUCUACAUGGCAUCUUGAUUAGAUUCCGUCAACAUCCCAUUGCACUUAUGUGUGACAUAGAGAAAAUGUACCAUCAGUUCCAUGUAGAUGAAACUGACAGAGAUUUCUUGCGCUUCCUUUGGUGGAAGAACGGAAACAUCAACCAACCAGCUUGUGAGUUUCGCAUGAAAGUCCAUUUAUUUGGUGCUGCUUCAUCCUCAGGAUGUGCAAACUAUGGCUUAAAACAUCUUGCAGCUGAAAACAGUAAGUUAUAUCCAUUAGGCUCUCAGUUCAUACUUAAAAACUUCUAUGUUGAUGACGGAGUAAUCAGUGUAGCUGACGCAGACCAGGCCAUCAAGAUUGCCAAUGAGGCUCGAAAACUCUGUGCUAUAGGUGGCUUAAGGCUCCACAAGUUUGUAUCAAACAAUGAAACUGUGUUGGAAAGUAUCCCUGUAUCAGAAAGGACCACUGAUGUGAAAGCCCUUGACCUUGCAUUUGAUGAGCUGCCUUUAGAAAGAACACUUGGUAUGCAAUGGGAGAGAGAAUCUGACUGUUUUAAGUUCAAAGUUCAGCUGAAAAAUCAACCUGCCUCUCGCCGUGGCAUAUUGUCUACGGUUGCCUCCGUUUAUGAUCCCUUGGGACUUAUAGCACCUGUGCUCUUGAGUGGAAAGAAAAUAUUGCAGGAAGUGUGUAAGCGUGGCAGUGGAUGGGAUGAUCCUUUGUCAGAUGAAUUCUGCCUAAGGUGGGAGCGAUGGAAACAAGACUUGAAUGAUUUGCAGAAAGUAAAUGUGCCACGGACUUAUGCACCGACUGACUUUGGGAAUCCUGUCGAAGCUGAAUUACAUCAUUUUUCUGACGCCAGUACUUACGGAUACGGUCAGUGUUCUUACUUGAGGCUUAAGAAUAAGGAAGGAAACGUUCAUUGUGCUAUAGUGAUGGCGAAGUCAAGAGUUGCACCUCUUAAACCUAUAACAGUUCCAAGAUUGGAGUUGGCAGCUGCAGUGGUUUCUGUUGGAAUGAGCAGUGUUCUCAAGACUGAGUUGGAUUACACAUUUGUCAAAGAAAUGUUCUGGACGGAUUCCAAAGUAGUGUUGGGAUACAUAAGCAAUGAAGCACGUAGAUUCCACACUUUUGUUGCAAAUCGAGUGCAAAGAAUACGUCACAAUACAACUGUUGAGCAGUGGAGAUACGUUCCAACGAAAGAAAACCCUGCCGACCAUGCAUCCAGGGGUCUGACCGUGAAGGAACUUCUUGCCUCAAACUGGUUUACAGGUCCAAAAUUUUUGUGGGAGAAGGAGAUGAUUGUACCAGCAGAACCUGUUCCUGAGCUUUUAUUUGGGGAUCCAGAAGUGAAAACCUUUCAUACUUUAAGUACAAGGUGUAUGGAAAGCUUCAGUUUGGCUGAUCGUCUUUCAAAGUUUUCCUCUUGGUCAAAUGUAGUCAGAGGUAUAGCACGUCUCUUAAGAAGAGUUAACAAAGAUAAAUCUAGUCAUCUCAGUACUGUAUCAGAAAGACAAAAGGCAGAACUCCAUAUAAUUAAAUGUUUGCAAGGAAGUUCCUACAAGGAUGAGCUGAAAGAAAUAAAAGGUGGAAGGAAUAUCUCAUCACACAGCGCAUUGUAUCCCCUUGACCCUUUCUUGGAUGAAGAUUGUAUACUUAGGGUGGGAGGAAGGAUUGGUCGUUCAAGGUAUUCAGAUUCUGUGACACAUCCUAUAAUCAUCCCAAAGAAUCACCAGAUCACACAAAUGAUUGUUGCUCACUUUCACAACAAAGUCGCUCACCAAGGAAAAGGAUUUACGAUAAAUGAGAUCAGGUCUAAUGGCUUUUGGAUUCCAGCAAUCAAUAGAGUUGUAACAUCCUAUAUCAGAAGUUGCGUCAUUUGUAGAAAGCACAGAAGGCCUGUGGAGGAACAAAAAAUGGCUGAUCUUCCUUUGGAAAGGGUGAACCCGUCACCUCCAUUUUUGCAUACUGGUAUGGAUUGCUUCGGACCAUUCUUCAUUAAGCAAGGACGAAGUAUGCACAAAAGAUACGGCCUUCUCUUGACUUGUCUCUGCUCUCGAGCUGUACAUAUUGAAUUGCUCAAUGAUAUGACAACAGACUCUUUCAUAAAUGCUUUGCGUUGUUUUAUCGCCAUAAGGGGCACUGUCCAACAAUUAAGAUCCGAUCAAGGGAGUAAUUUUGUGGGAGCAAAAAAUGCACUCAAAGUUGCACUCAAGGAAAUGGAUACUGAAAGAAUAAAGACCUUCCUUGCAGAGAGGCAGUGCGAGUUCGUCAUGAAUGCACCCCACGCAAGUCAUGUCGGUGGCGUGUGGGAGCGUCAAAUUAGAACCGUACGAUCUGUGUUAAAUUCCAUUCUUGCACAACAUCCAGGCAUAUUAGACGAUCCAUCUUUAAGGGCCUUCCUGUAUGAAGCAAUGGCUAUUGUAAAUAGUAGGCCACUAACUGUUGAUUGUCUGAAUGAUCCUAAAAGUCUAAGACCCAUCACUCCAAACCAUCUGCUCACAUUAAAGUCAGUCACUGCCCUGCCUCCACCAGGUGAAUUUGUCAAAGAAGAUGUUUAUGCACGAAAGAGAUGGAGACAUGUGCAAUAUUUAGCAGAGCAAUUCUGGAGUCGCUGGCGCAAGGAGUAUCUUGCGAAUAUAACUGCUCGACAGAAAUGGAAUGUAUCUAGGAGAAAUCUUCAAGCCAAUGAUAUUGUGAUGAUUAAAGAGGAAGACUUGCCUAGAAAUGAAUGGAAGCUUGGAAGGAUACAGGAAGUUACCUUUAGUGAUGAUGGGCUUGUAAGAAAAUGUAAGGUAGUUAUAGGAGAUUCAAAACUUAGUGCAAAGGGCGAGCGUGUAAACAAACAGUCCAUAAUUGAAAGACCAAUACAGAAACUUGUUCUAUUAAUGGAGGGACAUUAGUGGUUUGGUUGAAAUGUUUGAAAUUGUGUAAGGUUAUUACAAACGUUUUUAAAUUUUGUAUAAUUAUGAAUGUUUUGUAUGUUUUAUUGCUAAUUUAAGGUCUUGUAAAAGGGGUGCACAAAUUUAAAAAAAAGGACAAAAAAAAUGUUAAAAUAUUGAAAAGAAAAAAAUUGGGAAACAAGAGUUUGCAAAGGGAAAUUAUGUGCUUGUAUAUUUUGCACUCAUAAUUUGGUGGGAGUGUAAAGAAUUUGAGUUUUUUUUGUGUGUAUAAUCUAUGUUUUUGAUGCAUUAUUUACUUGUAUUUUGUCAUGGUAACGGAAGGCUUUUAUUUUGAAAUGUAUGGUCAUGACCGCAUAUAGCACGAGUACGUGCUAAUCAAUUCAGAGUGAAAUGAGACCCAGAUGCAAACGGUUGUGGCCUCGAAGGUUUACGGUUUACCAAGGCUUAGUUCCUGGUUUAAGUGGAGAACAAGCUCUUACGGUGAUCUUCAAUAAUCUCACGGUAUUUAUGAUGAGCAUUGAAUAAAGCUUGAGGAUCAUCAGUUGAAGAGUCAGUA